GACGAACGCGGCGGCGUGCCUAAUACAUGCAAGUCGAGCGGACAGAUGGGAGCUUGCUCCCUGAUGUAGCGGCGGACGGGUGAGUAACACGUGGGUAACCUGCCUGUAAGACUGGGAUAACUCCGGGAAACCGGGGCUAAUACCGGAUGGUUGUUUGAACCGCAUGGUUCAAACAUAAAAGGUGGCUUCGGCUACCACUUACAGAUGGACCCGCGGCGCAUUAGCUAGUUGGUGAGGUAAUGGCUCACCAAGGCAACGAUGCGUAGCCGACCUGAGAGGGUGAUCGGCCACACUGGGACUGAGACACGGCCCAGACUCCUACGGGAGGCAGCAGUAGGGAAUCUUCCGCAAUGGACGAAAGUCUGACGGAGCAACGCCGCGUGAGUGAUGAAGGUUUUCGGAUCGUAAAGCUCUGUUGUUAGGGAAGAACAAGUACCGUUCGAAUAGGG
rnacentral:rRNA from 1 species